AUUAUAUAAUCUUAAAUACUAAA
rnacentral:snRNA from 1 species